rnacentral:rRNA from 1 species
GAUCAAGUGUCUUAAGGGCAAUUGGUGGAUGCCUUGGCAUGCACAGGCGAUGAAGGACGUGAUACGCUGCGAUAAGCUACGGGGAGGUGCGAAUACCCUUUGAUCCGUAGAUUUCCGAAUGGGGAAACCCACCUAAGGUGCUUGGAAAAUCAGAGCAGCCAGUGGUCGAAAGGCCGACUUGCUGCUGUGGUUUCCAAGGAUCUGUUAUAGGUAACUUAUCCUGAAUCCAUAGGGAUAAAGUGGCGAACGCGGGGAACUGAAACAUCUAAGUACCCGUAGGAAAGGACAUCAACCGAGACUCCGGCAGUAGUGGCGAGCGAACCCGGACCAGGCCAGUGGCGAUGAUGAGACAAGCGGAACCUUCUGGAAAGUAGGGCCAUAGUGGGUGACAGCCCCGUACGCGUAAUGCAAAUCAUCGUCCUCGAGUAAGGCGGGACACGUGAAAUCCUGUCUGAAAUUGGGGGGACCACCCUCCAAGCCUAAGUACUCGUGCAUGACCGAUAGCGAACUAGUACCGUGAGGGAAAGGUGAAAAGCACCCCGACAAGGGGAGUGAAAGAGUACCUGAAACCGAUUGCCUACAAACAGUGGGAGUCCAAGGUUCGUCCUGGGUGACCACGUACCUUUUGUAUAAUGGGUCAGCGACUUAGUGUGACGAGCAAGCUUAAACCGCUAGGUGUAGGCGCAGCGAAAGCGAGUCUGAACAGGGCGUUCAGUUCGUCGCAUUAGACCCGAAACCGAGUGAUCUAGCCAUGAGCAGGUUGAAGGUAAGGUAACACUUACUGGAGGACCGAACCCAUAACUGUUGCAAUAGUUCGGGAUGACUUGUGGCUAGGGGUGAAAGGCCAAUCAAACUCGGAAAUAGCUGGUUCUCCGCGAAAUCUAUUUAGGUAGAGCGUCGACCGAAUACCCCAGGGGGUAGAGCACUGGAUGGGCUAGGGGUCCUCACCGGAUUACCAAACCUAACCAAACUCCGAAUACCUGGGAGUACUAGUCGGCAGACACACGGCGGGUGCUAACGUCCGUCGUGAAAAGGGAAACAACCCUGACCUACAGCUAAGGUCCCCAAGUUAUGGCUAAGUGGGAAAGGAUGUGAGGAUCCCAAAACAACCAGGAUGUUGGCUUAGAAGCAGCCAUCAUUUAAAGAAAGCGUAACAGCUCACUGGUCUAAAUAAGGGUCUUUGCGCCGAAAAUGUAACGGGGCUCAAGCCAUACACCGAAGCUUAGGGUUCGUGAGCAAUCACGAGCGGUAGCGGAGCGUUCUGUAAGCUGAUGAAGCCAUACCCGUGAGGGGUGGUGGAGGUAUCAGAAGUGCGAAUGCUGACAUGAGUAACGUAAGGGGAGUGAGAGACUCCCCCGCCGAAAGUCCAAGGGUUCCUGCUUAAAGCUAAUCUGAGCAGGGUUAGCCGGCCCCUAAGUCGAGGCAGAAAUGCGUAGACGAUGGGAACCACGUUAAUAUUCGUGGGCCUGGAGGAAGUGACGGAUCAUUGAGGUAGUCCAAUCUUAUCGGAUUGAACGGGCUGCUGCGUGGUUCCAGGAAAUAGCUCCUCCUUAUAGACCGUACCCGAAACCGACACUGGUGGACUGGUAGAGUAUACCAAGGCGCUUGAGAGAACUAUGCUGAAGGAACUCGGCAAAUUGCACGCGUAACUUCGGAAGAAGCGUGACCCUUUUCCACGCAAGUGGAGGAGGGUGGCACAGACCAGGGGGUAGCGACUGUUUAUCAAAAACACAGGGCUCUGCGAAGUCGCAAGACGACGUAUAGGGUCUGACGCCUGCCCGGUGCUGGAAGGUUAAGAGGAGGGGUGCAAGCUCUGAAUCGAAGCCCCAGUAAACGGCGGCCGUAACUAUAACGGUCCUAAGGUAGCGAAAUUCCUUGUCGGGUAAGUUCCGACCUGCACGAAUGGCGUAACGACUUCCCCGCUGUCUCCAGCAUAGACUCAGUGAAAUUGAAUUCCCCGUGAAGAUGCGGGGUUCCUGCGGUUAGACGGAAAGACCCCGUGCACCUUUACUAUAGCUUUACAUUGGCAUUCGUAGUGGCAUGUGUAGGAUAGGUGGUAGGCUUUGAAACCUGGGCGCCAGCUCAGGUGGAGCCACCCUUGAAAUACCACCCUUAUCACUAUGGAUGUCUAACCGCGGCCCGUCAUCCGGGUCCGGGACAAUGUAUGGUGGGUAGUUUGACUGGGGCGGUCGCCUCCUAAAGAGUAACGGAGGCGCGCGAUGGUGGGCUCAGAACGGUCGGAAAUCGUUCGCUGAGUGCAAUGGCAUAAGCCUGCCUGACUGCGAGACUGACAAGUCGAGCAGAGACGAAAGUCGGUCAUAGUGAUCCGGUGGUCCCGCGUGGAAGGGCCAUCGCUCAACGGAUAAAAGGUACGCCGGGGAUAACAGGCUGAUGACCCCCAAGAGUCCAUAUCGACGGGGUUGUUUGGCACCUCGAUGUCGACUCAUCGCAUCCUGGGGCUGGAGCAGGUCCCAAGGGUAUGGCUGUUCGCCAUUUAAAGCGGUACGUGAGUUGGGUUCAGAACGUCGUGAGACAGUUCGGUCCCUAUCUGCCGUGGGUGUAGGAAUAUUGAAAGGAUCUGUCCCUAGUACGAGAGGACCGGGAUGGACGGAUCUCUGGUGGACCUGUUGUGGCGCCAGCCGCAUAGCAGGGUAGCUAUAUCCGGACGGGAUAACCGCUGAAGGCAUCUAAGCGGGAAACCCACCUUAAAACGAGUAUUCCCUGAGAACCGUGGAAGACGACCACGUUGAUAGGCCGGGUGUGGAAGAGCGGCAACGCUUGAAGCUUACCGGUACUAAUAGUUCGAUCGGCUUGAUCGUUCUCAUU